GACGAACGCUGGCGGCGUGCCUAAUACAUGCAAGUCGAACGCAUUUUCUUUCACCGUAUCUUGCUACACCGAAAGAAACUGAGUGGCAAACGGGUGAGUAACACGUGGGUAACCUGCCCAUCAGCGGGGGAUAACACGCGGAAACAGGUGCUAAUACCGCAUAAUUCCAUUUGGCGCAGGGUAUAUGGGUGAAAGGCGAUUUUGCGGCACCGAUGGAGGGACCCGCGGUGCAUUAGCUAGUGGGUGGGGUAACGGCCUACCAAGGCUGGGAUGCAUACCCGCCCUGAGAGGGUGAUCGGCCACACUGGGACUGAGACACGGCCCAGACGCCUACGGGAGGCAGCAGUAGGGAAUCUGCGGCAAUGGACGCAAGUCUGACCGAGCAACGCGGAGUGAGUGAAGAAGGUUGUCGGAUCGUAAAACUCUGUUGUUAGAGAAGAACAAGGAUGAGAGUGGAAAGUUCAGCCCUUGACGGUAUCUAACCAGAAAGCCACGGUUAACUACGUG
rnacentral:rRNA from 1 species